rnacentral:sRNA from 1 species
GCCAGGCACGGUGGCGCAGGCCUGUAAUCCCAGCAGCUUGGGAGGCUGAGGCAGGAGGAUCUCGAGUUCAAAGCCAGCCUCAGCAAAUGUGAGGCACUAAGCAACUCAGUGAGACUCUGUCUCUA